AUUCUGGAACAAGACAUACUGGAAAGGAAAGUAAUCUUAGCAGGCGUUCGGCAAGAAGUGUAGUACAUUAUUCAAACUGUUGAAGUUCGCGUGGGUGUGAACCGCGCCAGGUU
rnacentral:sRNA from 1 species